GUCAUGACUGCUUUCUGCCUGAACCAGCUAGCUUUCUCUUGCCUAUGAGUGAAGAAUGUGUAGAAAAUUUCCUGCUGAAUAAGGAUACACAGAGAAUGAAAAACAGACAAAAGCAACUCUUAACAUCCAACUCACAAUAUUUUGCAAGAUUAGAG
rnacentral:lncRNA from 1 species